AUUUGUUUUUAAGAUAGGAAAAGUAGUAUUUCCCUAACAAUUACCACUCUUUGAAGUUUAUUAUUCUGAGCAUCAUAGGAGAAUGCAAAUUAGUGGUUUUUUAACACACCAAAUAAUUUUAUCUAGAACAAACUCAGGGGGCUAGAAAUUAAUCAGGGAAAGCUCCCUCUGUGGCAAAACAGGAAGAUAAUUCAACUCCUGAGUUAUGAAGUGUAGGGAAAGGGUUAGUGAAACCCUCUCUCCUGCUCUGUAAACAAGUUUGACCUUGGAUUAACUCUCUAGCUGUGUUCUUCCGGAAACCUGAUAAAAGUGGAAUGUCAGUUGUGUUACUAGGCAGCACAGCUUAGGGUAAAUAUGUCCCCUGAUUACAAAGCUGCAUCUGAACUGGGAAAACUAUGAAAGAACUACAAAGACCUGGUGAGAAGUCACAGGCUGGGUUUCCCAAGGUGACUCUCGUCAUUGGUCACAUCAUCUGAGGGGGCUCUGCAAGCUCUGCUCACGGGGUUGUCACAGAACUACAGGCUCCUCUUCAGUUGAGACCCGGAUCUCCGGAGCCAAGGUGACUGCCCCCACUGAGGCGGAUCUCAUCUUCUUGCUCCUACGCUGACACGUGAGAGCCAGUCCCGCCUCUGCACUGCUUGCUGCAAGGCCUCCUGUGAAAGAAAAGCAUCACUUAAGCAAUUGCUAUGGUGAAAACUGAAAGGCUCUAAGCCAUUUUCCAACUUUAAGGAAAUACAAAAUGAAGGCUGGUUUUGGUUUUGAUGUUUCAUUCUAUUCGGAUGGGCCCUAAGUGGGUUUUCCGGAUACUCUCGAUGAACACCCUGCCGUUGGUGGUCCAUGACAGCGUGUGUUGGCUAUUCAGGAAUUACAUCUCCAAUCGAAUUCAAAAUGCCAUUGCCUCUGAGGUCUGCAUGCAUACUCUUGUCAAAACAUAGGAAUCUGGAAGAUACACUUUUCAAGAAAUGGAAGGAAAAGUAUUGUAAGUCUCUUAAAGUACAGCUUUGGAAUGAUGAUGUUUCCAAAAGCCAAAGGCGUAUGCCAGGCAUUCAAGAAGCCAAGUUUUCUGUUGGACAUACUCUUGAGAGUGCUGGAAGGUAUGUAUUCCUCUAGGCUGCAACAGAUGGAAAAACGAAGGCUUUCCAAUAACAGUUAUGAAAGGCAUUCAUCAGGAUUUAGGAGGCAGGGUUGGAAUUUAAUCAAUAAACAUCUCUCUACAUCUCAUACUUGGUUUCUCAAAAACCAGUUUUUCAAAUCAAAUGCUUUUCAACUAAUCUUAGGACAAAUGGGCUAAGAGAGCAAUAGCAGGUGUGACACGGAGGUGCAGCGGAGUUGGGAGGACCGGUACUGUUGUUUCCUUGGUUAAAGCCUCAAGUUACUCAAACCAAAGCAUGCAGAACACAGGGCCACACAGCCUGCUUCCCACAGGCCAGCUCCCUCGCAGAAAUCCCCCCCGAGGAAGGAUGAGAGAAGCGCUCACCCCACGGCUGCGGCUCAGCUUCGCCCAGUAUGUGCCCCAGCUGGGGAUAAAGCAGCUGUGAGCAGGCAGCACAAGCACACGCGGCACCUGAGGGCCACGAGAAGCGGGC